rnacentral:rRNA from 1 species
AGAGUUUGAUCAUGGCUCAGAAUCAACGCUGGCGGCGUGCCUAACACAUGCAAGUCGAACGCGAAAGUGGAGCAAUCCAUGAGUAGAGUGGCAAACGGGUGAGUAACGCGUGGGUGACCUGCCUUCGAGUGGGGGAUAACGCCCCGAAAGGGACGCUAAUACCGCAUAACAUGCUGCCUUUUAACAGGCGGACAUCAAAGCUGGGGAUCGCAAGACCCAGCGCUGGAAGAGGGGCCCGCGUCCGAUUAGCUAGUUGGUGAGGUAAAGGCUCACCAAGGCAUCGAUCGGUAGCCGGCCUGAGAGGGCGACCGGCCACACUGGCACUGAAACACGGGCCAGACUCCUACGGGAGGCAGCAGUGGGGAAUUUUGGGCAAUGGCCGAAAGGCUGACCCAGCAACGCCGCGUGAAGGAUGAAAUCUUUCGGGAUGUAAACUUCGCAAGUCAGGGAAGAAUAAACUGAUGCUAACACCAUCGGAUAUGACGGUAUCUGACGUAAGCCCCGGCUAACUCCGUGCUAGCAGCCGCGGUAAUC